CCUACGGGAGGCAGCAGUAGGGAAUAUUGGGCAAUGGGCGAGAGCCUGACCCAGCCAUGCCGCGUGCCGGAUGAAGGCCUUCUGGGUUGUAAACGGCUUUUCUCAGGGAAGAAAAAGACCUUGCGAGGUAAACUGACGGUACCUGAGGAAUAAGCACCGGCUAACUCCGUGCCAGCAGCCGCGGUAAUACGGAGGGUGCAAGCGUUGUCCGGAUUUAUUGGGUUUAAAGGGUGCGUAGGUGGCCCGUUAAGUCCGGGGUGAAAGCCCACAGCUCAACUGUGGAACUGCCCUGGAUACUGGCGGGCUUGAGUCCAGACGAGGUUGGCGGAAUGGAAGAUGUAGCGGUGAAAUGCAUAGAUAUCUUCCAGAACCCCGAUUGCGUAGGCAGCUGACUAGACUGGUACUGACACUGAGGCACGAAAGCGUGGGGAGCGAACAGGAUUAGAUACCCUGGUAGUCCACGCCGUAAACGAUGGAUACUCGCUGGUGGCAAUAGACGUCNCUGCUAGACGAAGAGUAGUAUCCACCGUGGGAGGUACGCGUCGCGAGAGUAAGUAACGUACGAAAGAAGUAGUUAGGCGUGAGACGNGCGACGGACGACGACGAGGGAGGAGG
rnacentral:rRNA from 1 species